GAACUUGCCUCUUGGUCUGGGACAACUGUUGGAAACGACAGCUAAUACCGGAUAUUAUGAGAUUCUCGCAUGGGAAACUUAUGAAAGCUAUAUGCGCCAAGAGAGAGCCUUGCGUUCCAUUAGCUAGUUGGUGGGGUAACGUCCCACCAAGGCGACGAUGGAUAGCCGGCCUGAGAGGGUGAACGGCCACAAGGGGACUGAGACACGGCCCUUACUCCUACGGGAGGCAGCAGUGGGGAAUAUUGGACAAUGGGCCACAAGCCUGAUCCAGCAAUUCUGUGUGCACGAUGAAGGUCUUCGGAUUGUAAAGUGCUUUCAGUUGGGAAGAAGAAAGUGACGGUACCAACAGAAGAAGCGACGGCUAAAUACGUGCCAGCAGCCGCGGUAAUACGUAUGUCGCAAGCGUUAUCCGGAUUUAUUGGGCGUAAAGCGCGUCUAGGCGGAAAAAUAAGUCUGAUGUUAAAAUGCGGGGCUCAACUCCGUAUUGCGUUGGAAACUGUUUUUCUAGAGUACUGGAGAGGUGGGCGGAACUACAAGUGUAGAGGUGAAAUUCGUAGAUAUUUGUAGGAAUGCCGAUGGAGAAGUCAGCUCACUGGACAGAUACUGACGCUAAA
rnacentral:rRNA from 1 species